rnacentral:lncRNA from 1 species
AGUUGAUCUUCAAUGGCCAAUGAUUUAAUCAAUCAUGCCUGUGUAAUGAAGCCUUCAUAAAAACCUAAAAAAGGACGGGGUUUGGAGAGCUUCCUGUAAGCGAACCCGUGAAGGUUCCAGGAGGAUGGCGCACCCGGAAAGGGCGUGGAAGCUCCGCGCCCCUUCCCACAGACUUUCCCCCAUCCAUCUCUUCAUCUGGUGUUCAUCGAUAGCCUUUGUAAUGUCCUUAAUAGUAAACCGGAAAACCCUUGAGAUACUCCAAGCAGACUUACCUCUGUGUUGUACACCCC